GACGAACGCUGGCGGCGUGCCUAAUACAUGCAAGUAGAACGCACAGUUUAUACCGUAGCUUGCUCCACCAUAAACUGUGAGUUGCGAACGGGUGAGUAACGCGUAGGUAACCUGCCUGGUAGCGGGGGAUAACUAUUGGAAACGAUAGCUAAUACCGCAUAAUAUUGAUUAUUGCAUGAUAAUUGAUUGAAAGAUGCUAUUGCAUCACUACCAGAUGGACCUGCGUUGUAUUAGCUAGUAGGUGAGGUAACGGCUCACCUAGGCGACGAUACAUAGCCGACCUGAGAGGGUGAUCGGCCACACUGGGACUGAGACACGGCCCAGACGCCUACGGGAGGCAGCAGUAGGGAAUCUUCGGCAAUGGACGAAAGUCUGACCGAGCAACGCCGCGUGAGUGAAGAAGGUUGUCGGAUCGUAAAGCUCUGUUGUAAGAGAAGAACGGGUGUGAGAGUGGAAAGUUCACACUGUGACGGUAUCUUACCAGAAAGGGACGGCUAACUACGUG
rnacentral:rRNA from 1 species